AUAGAACUUUUUUUUAUAAUUUUUAGCAAUAAUUUGUUUUGAUUUUUACACUCUUAUUAUUGUUUCAGGGUGUCAACGCGCCUACUUCAUCAGACGUCUUAAUUUCAUAUUUACCACUUGCUCACAUGUUUGAAAGAAUAACUCAGAUUCUGUCAUAUAUUAGUGGGGGGAGUGUUGGCUUUUCUCAAGGAAAUAUAAAACUUUUAACAGACGAUA